rnacentral:RNase_P_RNA from 1 species
CAAGUUGACUGGGUGAUCGCGCCCCGCCACGCUGCGGGGUGAGGAAAGUCCGCGCUCCACAGGGCACGGUGCUGGCUAACAGCCAGGCGAGGCGACUCGACGGCAAAGUGCAACAGAGAGGUGUAUUGCCCCUUCCACUGGAAGGAGCGAGGGUGAAACGGUGUGGUAAGAGCACACCGGCGUCUGUGGUGACACAGGCGGCCAGGCAAACCCCACUGGGAGCAAGGCCAAGCAGGAACGAGGGGCUGCCCGUCCCGCUAUCAAUUCCGGGUAGGCCGCUAGAGACGUCAGGUAACUGGCGUCCCAGAGAGAUGAUCACUACCCGCCGAAAAUUCUGGCGGGCACAUAACGCGGCUUACAGGUCAACUUGGGUC